rnacentral:rRNA from 1 species
UACGUAGGGCGCAAGCGUUAUCCGGAAUUAUUGGGCGUAAAGAGCUCGUAGGCGGUUUGUCGCGUCUGCCGUGAAAGUCCGGGGCUCAACUCCGGAUCUGCGGUGGGUACGGGCAGACUAGAGUGAUGUAGGGGAGACUGGAAUUCCUGGUGUAGCGGUGGAAUGCGCAGAUAUCAGGAGGAACACCGAUGGCGAAGGCAGGUCUCGUGGGCCGCAACUGACGCUGAGGAGCGAAAGCAUGGGGAGCGAACAGG